UGCAUAUAGAUAUCUCUGACAGAUCUCAGAUCUUGGUUGGUCACGUGAAACAUACUUGAAGAUUCCAAUUACUGUUCCCAGAUCUUGGCUCGUUAAAUUAAGUGAAGCU